rnacentral:rRNA from 1 species
UACGUAGGGCGCAAGCGUUGUCCGGAAUUAUUGGGCGUAAAGAGCUCGUAGGCGGUCUGUCGCGUCUGCUGUGAAAACUCGGGGCUUAACCCCGGGCCUGCAGUGGGUACGGGCAGACUAGAGUGCGGUAGGGGAGACUGGAAUUCCGGGUGUAGCGGUGGAAUGCGUAGAGAUCCGGAAGAACACCAGUGGCGAAGGCGGUUAGCUGGGCAGUUGCUGACACUGAUGCGCGACAGCGUGGGGAGCAAACAGG